GGGCCUUUGAUCUUGCCCGGCUUGCAAAUGAUGACGACGUCAUGCUUCUUGAUUGGGUGAAAGGACUUCUGAAAGACAAGAGGUUGGAAACACUAGUUGAUCCCGAUCUUGCGGGAAAAUAUCCCGACGACGAAGUCGAGCAGCUUAUACAAGUUGCCUUGUUGUGCACACAAGGCACUCCUACAGAACGGCCUAAGAUGUCAGAGGUUGUACGGAUGCUUGAG
rnacentral:misc_RNA from 1 species